AUUGAACGCUGGCGGCAGGCCUAACACAUGCAAGUCGAACGAGUGGCGGACGGGUGAGUAAUGUAUGGGAAACUGCCUGAUGGAGGGGGAUAACUACUGGAAACGGUAGCUAAGACCGCAUACCAUCGGAUGUGCCCAGAUGGGAUUAGCUAGUAGGUGGGGUAAAGGCUCACCUAGUCGACGAUCCCUAGCUGGUCUGAGAGGAUGACCAGCCAAACUGGAACUGUGACACGGUCCAGACUCCUACGGGAGGCAGCAGUGGGGAAUAUUGCACAAUGGGCGCAAGCCUGAUGCAGCCAGGCAGCGUGUAUGAAGAAGGCCUUCGAGUUGUAAAGUACUUUCAGCGGGGAGGCGUUACCCGCAGAAAAAGCAACGCCUAACUCCGUGCCAGCAGCCGCGGGAAUAC
rnacentral:rRNA from 1 species